AGAGUUUGAUCCUGGCUCAGGACGAACGCUGGCGGCGUGCCUAAUACAUGCAAGUCGAGCGGACCGACGGGAGCUUGCUCCCUCAGGUCAGCGGCGGACGGGUGAGUAACAUGUGGGUAACCUGCCUGUAAGACUGGGAUAACUCCGGGAAACCGGGGCUAAUACCGGAUGCUUGAUUGAACCGCAUGGUUCCAAUCAUAAAAGGUGGCUUUUAGCUACCACUUACAGAUGGACCCGCGGCGCAUUAGCUAGUUGGUGAGGUAACGGCUCACCAAGGCGACGAUGCGUAGCCGACCUGAGAGGGUGAUCGGCCACACUGGGACUGAGACACGGCCCAGACUCCUACGGGAGGCAGCAGUAGGGAAUCUUCCGCAAUGGACGAAAGUCUGACGGAGCAACGCCGCGUGAGUGAUGAAGGUUUUCGGAUCGUAAAACUCUGUUGUUAGGGAAGAACAAGUACCGUUCGAAUAGGGCGGUACCUUGACGGUACCUAACCAGAAAGCCACGGCUAACUACGUGCCAGCAGCCGCGGUAAUACGUAGGUGGCAAGCGUUGUCCGGA
rnacentral:rRNA from 2 species